UACGUAGGGUGCAAGCGUUAAUCGGAAUUACUGGGCGUAAAGCGUGCGCAGGCGGUUGUGCAAGACAGAUGUGAAAUCCCCCGGGCUCAACCUGGGAACUGCCAUUUGUGACUGCACGGCUGGAGUGCGGCAGAGGGGGAUGGAAUUCCGCGUGUAGCAGUGAAAUGCGUAGAUAUGCGGAGGAACACCGAUGGCGAAGGCAAUCCCCUGGGCCUGCACUGACGCUCAU
rnacentral:rRNA from 1 species